AAUAUAUUGUUUUUCCCUGAUGUUGGGAUUUUACAGUUUUAUGUGGACUCUGUGGUGGUUGUCCCCUUGUUCCUUUGUCUUGUGUUCUGGGGUAGGGGCCUGCCACGUGGGUUUUCAGUCAAUGAUGUUCUCUGAGUUAAGUCCUCCCGCCCACCUCAAGGGGGUG